rnacentral:tmRNA from 1 species
GGGCUUGAUUGGUUUUGACAGCGUUAUAGAAAUAAUUUGUAAGCAUGUAGUGCUUCGUUGUUCGGCACUUAAAUAUUGAGUAACGAAAAAUUAAUUGGCGAAAGAAAUUACGCUCUCGCUGCUUGAUUAAACGCAAGCUUUAUUUUAUCUUCAUUAGAUAAAACGGGACAUCGCUUUGGAACUCUUGCUUCGAAGUUAAUCCAAGAAAUAUGUGGUGCAGUAAUAUCGGGCUAAUUUGAAGAAAUCCUUGAGCUUCAAAUGAAAUUGUUUUUUAAGGAGUAGAUUCGGUAUUUUAAUAUCCUCAGUUUUGUAUUGAAUCGAAAAAUGAAAUGAGGAUAAACAUGUAGAAAACAAAUUAAGUUCUUCGUUUGGACGAGGGUUCGAAUCCCUCCAAGUCCACUG